rnacentral:rRNA from 1 species
GAUGAACGCUGACAGAAUGCUUAACACAUGCAAGUCAACUUGAAUUUGGGUUUUUAACUUCGGUUUGGGUGGCGGACGGGUGAGUAACGCGUAAAGAACUUGCCUCACAGCUAGGGACAACAUUUGGAAACGAAUGCUAAUACCUAAUAUUAUGAUAAUAGGGCAUCCUAUAAUUAUGAAAGCUAUAAGCGCUGUGAGAGAGCUUUGCGUCCCAUUAGCUAGUUGGAGAGGUAACGGCUCACCAAGGCGAUGAUGGGUAGCCGGUCUGAGAGGGUGAUCGGCCACAAGGGGACUGAGACACGGCCCUUACUCCUACGGGAGGCAGCAGUGGGGAAUAUUGGACAAUGGACCGAGAGUCUGAUCCAGCAAUUCUGUGUGCACGAUGAAGUUUUUCGGAAUGUAAAGUGCUUUCAGUUGGGAAGAAACAAAUGACGGUACCAACAGAAGAAGUGACGGCUAAAUACGUG